AGUGAACGCUGGCGGUAGGCCUAACACAUGCAAGUCGAACGGCAGCACAGUAAGAGCUUGCUCUUACGGGUGGCGAGUGGCGGACGGGUGAGGAAUACAUCGGAAUCUACUUUUUCGUGGGGGAUAACGUAGGGAAACUUACGCUAAUACCGCAUACGACCUACGGGUGAAAGCAGGGGAUCUUCGGACCUUGCGCGAUUGAAUGAGCCGAUGUCGGAUUAGCUAGUUGGCGGGGUAAAGGCCCACCAAGGCGACGAUCCGUAGCUGGUCUGAGAGGAUGAUCCGCCCCACUGGAACUGAGACACGGUCCAGACUCCUACGGGAGGCAGCAGUGGGGAAUAUUGGACAAUGGGCGCAAGCCUUAUCCAGCCAUACCGCGUGGGUGAAGAAGGCCUUCGGGUUGUAAAGCCCUUUUGUUGGGAAAGAAAAGCAGCAGGUUAAUACCCCGCUGUUCUGACGGUACCCAAAGAAUAAGCACCGGCUAACUUCGUG
rnacentral:rRNA from 1 species